rnacentral:rRNA from 1 species
GAUGAACGCUGGCGGCGUGCCUAACACAUGCAAGUCGAGCGAUUCCCUUCGGAGAAGAGCGGCGGACGGGUGAGUAACGCGUGGGUAACCUGCCCUGUACACACGGAUAACAUACCGAAAGGUAUGCUAAUACGAGAUAAUAUACUUUUAUCGCAUGGUAGAAGUAUAAAAGUUUUUGCGGUACAGGAUGGACCCGCGUCUGAUUAGCUAGUUGGUAAGGUAACGGCUUACCAAGGCGACGAUCAGUAGCCGACCUGAGAGGGUGAUCGGCCACAUUGGAACUGAGACACGGUCCAAACUCCUACGGGAGGCAGCAGUGGGGAAUAUUGCACAAUGGGCGAAAGCCUGAUGCAGCAACGCCGCGUGAGCGAUGAAGGCCUUCGGGUCGUAAAGCUCUGUCCUCAAGGAAGAUAAUGACGGUACUUGAGGAGGAAGCCCCGGCUAACUACGUGCCAGCAGCCGCGGUAAUAC